AACGAACGCUGGCGGCAUGCCUAACACAUGCAAGUCGAACGAGGCCUUCGGGCUUAGUGGCGCACGGGUGCGUAACGCGUGGGAAUCUGCCCUUGGGUUCGGAAUAACAGUUGGAAAUGACUGCUAAUACCGAAUGAUGUCUUCGGACCAAAGAUUUAUCGCCCAAGGAUGAGCCCGCGUCGGAUUAGCUAGUUGGUGAGGUAAAGGCUCACCAAGGCGACGAUCCGUAGCUGGUCUGAGAGGAUGAUCAGCCACACUGGGACUGAGACACGGCCCAGACUCCUACGGGAGGCAGCAGUGGGAAUAUUGGGACAAUGGGCGAAAGCCUGAUCCAGCAAUGCCGCGUGAGUGAUGAAGGCCUUAGGGUUGUAAAGCUCUUUUUACCCGGGAUGAUAAUGACAGUACCGGGAGAAUAAGCCCCGGCUAACGUCCGUGCCAGCAGCCG
rnacentral:rRNA from 1 species